rnacentral:rRNA from 1 species
UACGUAGGUGGCGAGCGUUGUCCGGAAUUACUGGGUGUAAAGGGCGUGUAGGCGGGUAAGCAAGUCAGAUGUGAAAUACCGGGGCUCAACCUCGGGGCUGCAUUUGAAACUGUUUAUCUUGAGUGCAGGAGAGGGAAGCGGAAUUCCUAGUGUAGCGGUGAAAUGCGUAGAUAUUAGGAGGAACACCAGUGGCGAAGGCGGCUUCCUGGACUGUAACUGACGCUGAGGCGCGAAAGCGUGGGUAGCGAACAGGAUUAGAUACC